rnacentral:rRNA from 1 species
UGUGUGAAGAAGGCCUUAUGGUUGUAAAGCACUUUAAGCGAGGAGGAGGCUACUUUAGUUAAUACCUAGAGAUAGUGGACGUUACUCGCAGAAUAAGCACCGGCUAACUCUGUGCCAGCAGCCGCGGUAAUACAGAGGGUGCGAGCGUUAAUCGGAUUUACUGGGCGUAAAGCGUGCGUAGGCGGCUUAUUAAGUCGGAUGUGAAAUCCCCGAGCUUAACUUGGGAAUUGCAUUCGAUACUGGUGAGCUAGAGUAUGGGAGAGGAUGGUAGAAUUCCAGGUGUAGCGGUGAAAUGCGUAGAGAUCUGGAGGAAUACCGAUGGCGAAGGCAGCCAUCUGGCCUAAUACUGACGCUGAGGUACGAAAGCAUGGGGAGCAAACAGGAUUAGAUACCCUGGUAGUCCAUGCCGUAAACGAUGUCUACUAGCCGUUGGGGCCUUUGAGGCUUUAGUGGCGCAGCUAACGCGAUAAGUAGACCGCCUGGGGAGUACGGUCGCAAGACUAAAACUCAAAUGAAUUGACGGGGGCCCGCACAAGCGGUGGAGCAUGUGGUUUAAUUCGAUGCAACGCGAAGAACCUUACCUGGCCUUGACAUACUAGAAACUUUCCAGAGAUGGAUUGGUGCCUUCGGGAAUCUAGAUACAGGUGCUGCAUGGCUGUCGUCAGCUCGUGUCGUGAGAUGUUGGGUUAAGUCCCGCAACGAGCGCAACCCUUUUCCUUACUUGCCAGCAUUUCGGAUGG